UACGGGGGGGGCAAGCGUUGUUCGGAAUUACUGGGCGUAAAGGGCUCGUAGGCGGCCAACUAAGUCAGACGUGAAAUCCCUCGGCUUAACCGGGGAACUGCGUCUGAUACUGGAUGGCUAGAAGUUGGGAGAGGGAUGCGGAAUUCCAGGUGUAGCGGUGAAAUGCGUAGAUAUCUGGAGGAACACCGGUGGCGAAGGCGGCAUCCUGGACCAAUUCUGACGCUGAGGAGCGAAAGCCAGGGGAGCAAAGCGGG
rnacentral:rRNA from 1 species